rnacentral:rRNA from 1 species
UACGUAGGGUCCGAGCGUUGUCCGGAAUUACUGGGCGUAAAGAGCUCGUAGGUGGUUUGUCGCGUUGUUCGUGAAAACUCACAGCUCAACUGUGGGCGUGCGGGCGAUACGGGCAGACUUGAGUACUGCAGGGGAGACUGGAAUUCCUGGUGUAGCGGUGGAAUGCGCAGAUAUCAGGAGGAACACCGGUGGCGAAGGCGGGUCUCUGGGCAGUAACUGACGCUGAAGAGCGAAAGCGUGGGGAGCGAACAGG